AAACAGACUGAAAGUCUGACGGAAACCUGCACACACGAAACUUUGUUUAGUUUUGAGGGGAUCACCCUCAAGCACCCUAACGGGUGCGACUUUGUUCUUUGAAAACUGGAUAUCAUUGUAUUAAUUGUUUUAAAUUGCCGAGAACACAGCGUAUUUGUAUGAGUUUCUGAAAAAGAAAUUUGCAUCGCAUAACCGCUGACGCAAGUCAGUACAGGUUAAGUUACAAAGGGCGCA
rnacentral:misc_RNA from 1 species